GUAAAGUUAUUAGCGAUGUUGUUUCAUUCGCCUUAAUACAAGUUCUGCUUCGCUCCGUACACUGCGUCAAGAAAUGGGUCUGACCAUGCCUUUGGAAAGCUGCUCAGACGGACCCUGGUCAGAGAAAACUCCCUGGAGCUGGAGGUCUGUGUCCAUACGGUCAGCCCAGGGUAUUUCAGUGGGUUCCCUGUAUCAUCUCAUCUCUUAUCUCAAGUUUAUGUGAAUUUCUACCACCUCCACAAGAAGAAUGGCAUUAAAUGGUAAUAAACUACACAAAAAAUCAAGAUUUUGAUGGUGAGUAACUUCAAACAAAAUUUUGGAAUACAACAGCAUUUUUUGAGGGAAUGCACCGAUGUUCCAUCUUACUGUAGAAGAAGAAAAGGCGCCCCACUGACCUCUACAUCUCCAGUGUAGUGUAACUGUGGGAGUGAGGUUUGAUGAGAAAAAAAAAUGUUUU